rnacentral:snRNA from 1 species
AUCGCUUCUCGGCCUUAUGGCUAAGAUCAAAGUGUAGUAGAAGGUACUAAGAAAAAUAUUAAUUUUACAAUAAAUUGUUCGAAACUAGCUAUUCAUAGCAAUACAAAAGUUAGGAUUUUGUUGUUAGGUUACAACUCAAUUUCGAAAAAAAAA